AGAAUACCCAAAUUUAUGUUGCAGAUAUAAUAAAUAAAAAAUUGGUAUACUUCAAUUUAAUUUUGGGAGAAAUUCAGGGAUUCGGAUCUUCAGCUGCCAACAUAUCUGCAGCCAGCUCUGCUGCAAAAUACACAGCCAUAAGAUCAAUCUAACGGAUUCUCUUCUUCUUCUUCUUUAUCUUCUUCUUCAUACUCUCUUUCAAUACCAAAUUACUAACAACACAAUCUCGUUUCACUUCAAAGCACCAACAAUGUCAUUUUCAAACUUGACCUGUAAUUUUCCAGUCACUCCCAAAUUUCAACAACUUCCAAACCCUAAUUUCAAUCGUUCAACAAACUCAACAAAAACAAGACUAUACUCUAAAUUUCAUCAUCAAGACCAACACACUGCUCUUGUUUCCUCAUUCAAUCAAUUGCUCCAUCAAAACAAUCCUAAACCACCGAUAAUCCAAUUUACAAAAAUCUUAACUUCUCUUGUCAAACUGAAACAAUACUCAACUGUUAUUUCACUUCAUCAACAGAUGGAAUUAAACGGAAUUGAGUCAGGCUUAAUCACUUUCACCAUUUUAAUUAAUUGUUUUUCUCAAUUGGGUCAAACCUCUCUUUCAUUUGCUGUAUUUGCCACUAUUCUCAAAAAGGGUUAUCACCCAGAUGUCAUAACUUUUACUACACUCAUCAAGGGUCUUUGUAUCAAAGGUGAGAUCCAUAAAGCAUUGAACUUUCAUCACAACUUGGUUGCACACAGAUUUCAAUUGAAUCAAUAUAGCUACACAAUUUUGAUUAAUGGGUUAUGUCAAGUUGGAGAAAUGAACAAAGCUAAGGAUAUACUCAACACUAUGGCUAAGAAUGGAGUGCCUCCUGAGGCUUGGAGCUACAAUGUCUUGAUUAAUGGAUUUUGUAAGCAUAAAAUGGUAGAUGAAGCCGUCAAUCUCUUUAAUGAAAUGCAUCAUAGAAAAAUUAUUCCUGAUGUGGUGACUUACACUUCGCUUAUUGAUGGUUUGUGCAAAUCAGGAAGAAUCGAAUAUGCUUUGGAGCUUGUCGAUGAAAUGCGUUGUAGAAACAUUAUUCCUGGUGUGGUGACUUACAGUUCACUUAUUGAUGGUUUGUGCAAGUUGGGAAGAGUCGAACAUGCUUUGGAGCUUCUCGAUGAAAUGCGUUGUAGAAAAAUUAUUCCUAAUGUGGUGACUUACACUUCACUUAUUGAUGGUUUGUGUAAAUCGGGAAGCAUCGAAUAUGCUUUGGAGCUUGUCGAUGAAAUGCGUUGUAGAAACAUUAUUCCUGAUGUGGUAACCUACAGUUCACUUAUUGAUGGUUUGUGCAAGUUGGGAAGAGUGGAAUAUGCUUUGGAGCUUGUCGAUGAAAUGCGUUGUAGAAAAAUUAUUCCUAAUGUGGUGACUUACAAUUCACUUAUUGAUGGUUUGUGCAAAUCAGGAAGAAUCGAAUAUGCACUGGAGCUUCUCGAUGAAAUGCGUUGUAGAAAAAUUAUUCCUAAUGUGGUGACUUACACUUCACUUAUUGAUGGUUUGUGUAAAUCGGGAAGCAUCGAAUAUGCUUUGGAGCUUGUCGAUGAAAUGCGUUGUAGAAACAUUAUUCCAGAUGUGGUAACCUACAGUUCACUUAUUGAUGGUUUGUGUAAAACAGGAAGAAUUGAAUAUGCAUUGGAGCUUGUCGAUGAAAUGCCUAAUAGAGGUCAACCACCUAAUUUGUUAACUUACAAUUCUAUAUUGGAUGCUUUGUUCAAAAACCAUCAUGUUGACGAGGCAAUUGCAUUAUUAACCAAAAUUAUAGAGAAGGGUAUUCAGCCAAACAUGCAUACGUACACUAUUCUUAUACAUGGAUUGUGUAUAAAUGGGAGACCGGAGGAUGCAAGAAAGGUUUUUGAAGAUCUUUUGGUCAAAGGCUACAAUCUAGAUGUCUAUACAUAUAAUGCUAUGAUCAGGGGAUUUUGCAACAAGGGCUUGUUUGACGAAGCAUUAACCAUGCUAUCAAAAAUGGAACCCAAUCGUUGUAUUCCGGAUGAUAAAACUUAUGAAACAAUUAUUCUUUCCCUCUUUGAAAAAGGUGAAAAUGAUAAAGCAAAUAAACUUCGUCAUGAAAUGAUUGAGAGAGGUCUAUUAUAUAAUCAAAACUAGAAACAACAUGUCAAGCUCUUCAAUAUUUGCCAUAGUAAAAUGGAGGAAGUUGUUCAAAGGAAUGCCUCUGUUAGUUCCACAUCUUAAUUUGGGAAAAUUGGCUAAAGAAAGCGAGCAAUUGGCUAAAGAAAGUAAAGCUGCAGUUUUUUUAAUUUUUUUGAACAAGAGCUGCAGUUGGUUUUUAACCAGAUAACAACCAGUUUUGGGAAAAUCAAUUGGACGGAUAUCCAACCAUUUGGAAUGGAUCCGGUUGAUAACCAUAUACUUUUAUCCGGAUUUUUUAAAACGGAUUUGGAUUUAGUUAUGAGUUUGGGCCUCCUAACCGGAUAUUUUGCACAGCCCUAUUUUAUCCUAUUGAAUAAUGUAUAUAACAAUACUGCUAAUUUGACUGACAUUUAAUCUUUUGUAUAUGGAUUGGAAUAUCUGAUACACUUUAAAUUAUAUAUUUGCUUAUAAAAACACACAUUCUAUAUUUCUAUUUCAUACAAAACUUUGCCCCAGCAUUCUGACAAAGCUCUCCUUAUUCCAAAGCAAAAUUCUUUAACGGUUCUUUCGUUUAGCCUCUUGUUUGUAUUGUCUUACAGUAGAUUUUCUGUUAUGAAAAUCGCUUUUUAGUUUGAAUUUGUAAAAGAAUCUUUUUCAUGAUAUUUUGUAUGUUUGUGCACAUGCAAUAUUUCUUCUGCUGAACUAUAUUGUAGAUAAAAAUAAAAUAUCAUGUUUUUCAAAAAUUUAAGCAAAUGUUGGUAGAGAAGCGAGAUUAAGUGACAGUUGAGUUGAUUCAACUGAACAUGAAAUUGAUGAUUUUAUAAGGGUGAAUAAUGUAGUACUAAGUUCUGGUAUAACAAGAGGGAAAAUUGUUAGAAAUAACAAAUCUGUCAAGGGAAAAUUCUGGUAUAUUUCUUGAUUCUUGCAUUAUUUUCUGUCAUGAUUUCCAUGAAUACAACUUCAUCAUACAUGUAAAUCCUUUUUUUAAGGUAGAUUUUCAGACCAAUCAACAAUGUUAUAAUUUGACUUUCUUACAGGUACAGUUCAUGCAUUGCAAGCGUAAUGUAAGUUUUUCAGCUCAAUUUACUAGCGGAUGAGAAGAUGCAAUCAUAUUCAUAGGAAGUGGAGCGGGAUUUCAAAGAACAUUACCACUUCAAACUUCCAACUUUCGAAGGGGAGGUGGCUUUCUGAUCAAAGUUGCUUGCUCAAACGAAUAAGCAAUUUCAAUUAACUUAGGUUCAGACCCUUUCAAACCUCCAAAGCAAAUUCCAAAUGGCACACCCUUUUCAUAUCCUGCUGGAACAUUCACUCCAGGAUAACCUCCAAUAGCAAGUAUGUCACUAAAGGAAAAAAAAGGUGUUACCACAGCAUCAAGUUCAUUUAUUUUCAUGAGUUUCUCAAACCCAUCUUGUGACCAUCUUGUCAAGUUUAAUAAUGCUUGUUUCUGUGCUUCCUCAA